rnacentral:rRNA from 1 species
GAUGAACGCUGGCGGCGUGCUUAACACAUGCAAGUCGAACGAAGCAUUUAGGACAGAUUACUUCGGUUUGAAGUUCUUUAUGACUGAGUGGCGGACGGGUGAGUAACGCGUGGGUAACCUGCCUUGUACUGGGGGAUAGCAGCUGGAAACGGCUGGUAAUACCGCAUAAGCGCACAAUGUUGCAUGACAUGGUGUGAAAAACUCCGGUGGUAUAAGAUGGACCCGCGUCUGAUUAGCUAGUUGGUGAGAUAACAGCCCACCAAGGCGACGAUCAGUAGCCGACCUGAGAGGGUGACCGGCCACAUUGGGACUGAGACACGGCCCAGACUCCUACGGGAGGCAGCAGUGGGGAAUAUUGCACAAUGGAGGAAAAUCUGAUGCAGCGACGCCGCGUGAGUGAAGAAGUAAUUCGUGAUGUAAAGCUCUAUCAGCAGGGAAGAUAGUGACGGUACCUGACGAAGAAGCUCCGGCUAAAUACGUG